CCUACGGGUGGCAGCAGUGAGGAAUAUUGGUCAAUGGACGAGAGUCUGAACCAGCCAAGUAGCGUGAAGGAUGACUGCCCUAUGGGUUGUAAACCUCUUUUGUCGGGGAGCAAGGCCCGCCACGUGUGGCGGGAAGGAGAGUACCCGAAGAAAAAGCAUCGGCUAACUCCGUGCCAGCAGCCGCGGUAAUACGGAGGAUGCGAGCGUUAUCCGGAUUUAUUGGGUUUAAAGGGUGCGUAGGCGGAAGGUUAAGUCAGCGGUCAAAUGUCGGUGCUCAACACCGGCCUGCCGUUGAAACUGGUCGUCUUGAGUGAGCGAGAAGUAUGCGGAAUGCGUGGUGUAGCGGUGAAAUGCAUAGAUAGCACGCAGAACUCCGAUUGCGAAGGCAGCAUACCGGCGCUCAACUGACGCUGAGGCACGAAAGCGUGGGGAUCGAACAGGAUUAGAUACCCGGGUAGUC
rnacentral:rRNA from 1 species